UAUGUAAAAUUCUGCCAUAUACAUAUGCUGGGCAUGUGAAGUAGUUUGAGGACAUCCUAAAAGAGAACACUGAAAAAUAGGAGAUAAAAAGCAAGGCUCUGAGCCCUGAAACAUUUGGUUUGGUAGGAGGGGACUGGGGAAGCAACGUCCCUCCCACUGUAAAUGAAUGACCACCUGAGGAACAUGAACAUCCGCAAGUCUAUGGAUCCUGAUGAGAUGAAUUCCAGAAUCCUGAAGGAAUUAGCUGAUGUGGUCACUAAAACCCUCUCAACGAUAUUUGAAAAGCUCCUUUUACGUCAGAAGGGAAUGACUAUCUCAGAAAUCCCUAACGCUGAAGAUGAGGAUAUUUACUGAAAAAUUGAUUGCUUGACCUGCACCUUGAUUUGACUCAGACCUGCACACCUCACCAGUUUCUGCAUUACAGUACAGAGAUACAUUGAUGUUUUUUCUUUCAAUGAACUAAUUUCUCCCUUAUAGACAUUUGAAAAUGAAGAAUAUAUACAACACAUUUCCAAAAAUAACUGAUAUUCCUGCCUGGCUACAUCAUAAAUCCAAUCUUAGGAAUAGGUUGAACACACCUCUUUUCUAGUUAUAACCUAUGCAUUUAUCCUUGCUGAUUUGGAAAAAAAUGUCAAGUAAACCUAUCUGAAAGAGGAACAGUUGGCUGAGUAAAGCCAAACCACGCUCCUGGAAUCAGAAUAUUGCAGCAGUACAGCAGUGUAAAGAAGUUCUCAGAUUUGAAGGCAUUUUAAAUAAUUUAGACUAUUUCAACAGCAUCAAGAAGAAACCUCAGCAAAGCCAGACUGUCAAGAUUUUGCAUCCUCACAAGCGUGGGCUCCUAUGAUUUAUGUGGACAUCUGUCCUGUGAGAAAGGAUUGCCAGAUUUAACUAAGUUAAAUCUGCAUACUGACAGAUGGCAAUGAUGUCUACUGUAAGAAGUGUCUGAAUUAUUUAGAGGUUUUUUUUCUCAUUAGGAGAGUGCUGACCCUCCCUCCUGUGAUGCCUUCAGACAUCAGUGUUCAUACCUCAUCCUACUUUUCCUGUUUGAACUUGAUAGCAUACAGAAAUAGAGGCUGCCUAAAUGCAUUGAAGAUUCUCAUUGGUACAUGCAACUGUCAUGGAUCCACAUCUACCAGAUGAACAUGAUUUGACUAGGACUUAGCAAACGUACUUUAUUUCAUUAUUCUCUGUUCUCUUAUUCUAAAGCAAUACCAAUUGUUUGUAAAACAAAACAGGCAUGAAUUCUUAGUGGUUAAAAAAAAGAAUAAAAUUAAACUUGUUUUUCUUGUCUGUUAUAGUCUGUACUUGUGUCCUGAUGAUUGAGACCUUGUUGUAGCAACUUAUAUCACCUCAGGAAAAAAUUCAAAGAGUCAGAACCUUAAAUGAACUUUCUAUAAAUAAUCUGCUGUGCAUUUUCAUAGUUAUGGGAUUUGGUGUUUAUUUCCUAUAAAAACCUGCAUUCAUAUUUAGAUCAGAUUUACUCUAGCACUCAUUUAUGAUAAUGCCACAGAAAUAAUUUUCUAAAACUUGGUGUUAUAGACAGAUUACUAACAAAGCAAUUCUAGCAAGCAACCAGAAUAUUCUGUCCUAGUGAAGACAUUGUUUCUUUGGCUUCUACUCCAUAAAUGAACAAUAUAAAUUUUUUCAGUAAUAGAAAAGCUCCUGCAGGCUCCACAAUGCUAGACCCACUAUUCAGGUCACCUAAUAAACACACUUGUCAGGACUAAUUAUUCCCUGCUAACAUUUCUGUAAAUAAUGGAAAAAUAAACCUCCCUGAAGUCAACAUUGCCAUUAGUCACUUUGUUCAGCAAAACCUCUCUGUGCAAAUUUGGGUCAAAUUAAUGAAAUGUAAUUAAUAAUUUAACAUAACUGAGUAUGAUGAGAAAAAAAAAAAUACUUCUACUUCUUUCACAUAAAACUUAACCUUUAAACUUUUCACCAGAACAUGAAAUUACUGCUUGGAUUAACGAUAGCCCAUAUACUGCUAAUACUAGUUAGUUGCUAAUAUGAUUCACCUUGCAGUUUCUGACUUUUGUUUUUCCCAAUUAAUCAAUUCUGUUUCCAUAGAUAACAUAUGAGCAUAAUUUAUGUGAUUAUCUGAUCAACUCUUCUGUGCUUUGUUCUUUUGUGAUUUUAAAAAAUAUUUUUGAUAAUAGUUGCUUUUCUUUAUUCAUUGAUCCUGUUUAAAGUACUAUUGUGCUAGAGACUACAACUGUGCUGCUGCAAUUUGUUUAUAUGGCAAUUCACUAUGAUAUUGCAAAAAAAAAAAAAUGGGUGAAGUUCAUUUUGCAGUAGUAUUCUUCUUACACCUUUGGAAAGCAGUGCCUCAUAUGUCUGUAAGACAGAUGUGCAAGAACAAGACACUGAUUUGUUACAAGAGCAUAGGAGAACAGCACACUGAAAUCGUAAUGAAGGUUGGCUCUUUAAUAUACUGUUUUUCUUCUCUUUCUCUCACUUUUAAUAUGCUACUACUUGAGAGGCUUCACUUUACUUGGAUUGCAUAUCCUGAGGCUUGAAGACAUCUUGUUUUGAAUCCCAUUGUAGGAAAAUGGUCUAUAUUCAUUGAAUAUAGUUGAUAAUGUGAGAGUCUCAUUCAAAAUCCCUGCUAAAUUAACAAGAAUGUUAUAAUUUGUGAUGAUUCUGCAGCAGUGAGAUUCUCUCCGUCUUGUCACCUGUCUCUGUGCAAACUGCCUGAUUAUAAUCAGUCCUGAACUUCUUAGGUAUUAAUGAGGAGAAUUUGUUUCAGAAGGCUAAUGCUAAUGAUACAGAAAAGCUUACACAGAAAAAAAUGUCAUAAAAUGAAAUAGUAAAAACCAAGUAAUUUUGUCCCUGAUUGAGAGCCAGCUUCAGCAUGUUCAGUUCUCCAAUAACUACACCAGUGGAUCUUUCCAGCUUACUUCUCUGCUGAAAAGUUACCCCAAAGGACUAAAUUUGAAGCUGAGGCAGGUGAGAAGACAUCAAAUGAGAUUCAACUAGCCCCUCCUCAACUGUCAGCACCUUUUGCCAAUGUAGAAUGAUGAUUUCUGUGCACAUAUGUAUGCAUUCUUCCAGAAUGCAAGCUUUGAUGUCUGUCUAUGCCAAAGUUAUUCAAACACUUUUUUUUUUAAGCAAACAAACAAAGAGAACAUUUUCCCUUAUUUUUUUCUUCCAACUUUGGAAAAAUAAGGCUGUAUAAAUCCCUCAGUGUAUCCAGCUGGGAUAUAAUCCAAUAGUUCUGGUGGAAUUUAAUUAUAGUAACAUCCUAAUUGAAGGUAAAUUAAACAAGACUAAAACCAAGAGCUGUCAUACUAAAUGAAAAUCUAAAUUACAUAGGUAACAGACAGUUCUGUCUUAGAAUUAUGACUUAAGGAGUGUGACAUUGUUUUCAGGUUAAUCAAUGAAAGCUUCACAAAUAUUUUGAAGCCUUCCUUGAUCUAUUAAAGGCCAAAUUAAAUCUAAACCUCUGAAAGACACUGAGGAGAGGAAAGUGAAUCAAUUCACUUUGGAGAGGGAAAAAUGCGUGCAAUGGGUGAGCGGGCUCUCUUGGAGCUUUGAUGGUCUUAUAGGUUGGGGUUUCCUCCAGUCCAGUGACCAAUGCAGAGGUGUGCUUGCCUGGUAUCUAAUCACUCAGGCUUAUUUUUAUUACCUGAUCACCUAGACAUUACUUUUACGCCAUGUUUACUACGAUGUUAGCUUGUACUGGCAGUCAGCUGCCUGUACGAUGAGUGACUUCCCUGCCCAAGCCAGGGUGAGUGAAAGGAAGUGUGGGACUCCACCCCCUGUGGAAAUGUUUUCCUUCUUCUUUUCUAUCUUGUCUCAGAACACCACAAAUGUUACAUCGUUUCAUCAUCAGAGACGCAUCUAUCAUCAUUUUGUCUUGUAAAUGCUGUGACGUAUCUUGCAAAACCCUCCAUGCUGGCACAAAAGUAGCUCAGGCAGCUUUAUUGACGCAUGCUCUCCUCAAGAUUACCACCCUAGGGUUUUUUCAUCAGCCCCCACCAAGCACAUACAGAAACAAAAAAAAACAACAAACCAAACCAAAACAAACAAACAAACAAAAAUUCCACACCCACAAACAAAAAAAAAACAAUCCAACUGAAGAGUUUUUUCCAUUCUAAUCCACUUAUCAUGUCAGUCUCUUACCACCUUUCUGGUUCCUCAGCUGUCAAGACAAGUCUCCACAAGAAAACUACCAGCCCUUCAUCAAUAGAGCUUGUCAGCUGCAGGCUCUGUAACUGCAUUUUCCUGCUUUUUAGUAGCAAAUCUUAAUAUCUCUAAGAAAAUGACAGCACAGCUAACAGUCUGCACUUUUCAUCCAUCUAUAAAUGCACAGCUGGCAUCCUUAUGGGAUUUUCUAAAUGCAUAUUCAGGCUAGCGUUUUCAAAUCCUCAGAUAUGGCCUGUGUUAUUUCUUCUAGCAGGAGAAAAACAACAACAAAACUAGUGCAGACAUAGAGGGCUCUUCUCUUAAUCUUUUGGAUUUACCUGAGGUUAACUUUGGGAUUUGAACAGAAAAAGCUUUUCAUUUUUAUUCACUAUUACCUUGCAUGGGGUCCCAGAAUCUAUGUAGUGACUUGUAAAGAAAAAAGCUCACUUUGGGUCAAAAGCCUCACCCUAGGAAAUAUACAGCUGGGAUCUGGUGAAAACACAGGUUCCACUUACCUGUUUAAUAUCAUGUCCAACUGCAGUUUUCUCCAGGGAAAGUUACUUGUUGAUAGACAGUUGUAGUGGCCCACAGCAACCCAAAAAAUAAAAAAGAACCGAUCUAUCAUUUGCUGCAGUUUUACUUGCUUUUGUUUACUCAUUUAGACAGUGCUGUCAAAUCUGUGCCCUUCUAGAGAUACUUGCUUUUUUAACCCUUGUGAACAUUAGCUGCUUCUGAAUGGAACUCCCAAAGGCAGUACACAUUGUAGAGCACCUUGUCAACUCACUUAGUAUAGCAACGUAGUAUGAGAUAGCAUGAAACUUCAGGAUUUAUCUUUAAAUAUUGCCUCUCUGAAGAUUCAUAUAGAGAAUUAUUAUUACUAUUGCUAUGGAUAUAAUUGAGUUCUCUUCUGAAGAUAAUUUCUUAUUUUCCUCCCUUUUAGUGGCUUGAAUUUGUGAAGGUGGAUGUUGGAGUAAGAAGUUUAUAAUUCACUGUUAGUAUGCUGUAGUCUAAAAUUUGCAGUGUUGACUCAGGAAGUGGUAAAGGAAGAUUUAUCCUUCUGCUUCUUCUACAAAAACAUAAUGUGAGCAAUAUGGUCAUGAAAUAAUGUACAGAAAAUUGUAUAUUUAAGGGAAAGCAGGAUUUCUGUCACGUUUAUGUCCUGUUUCAUUGCCUUUCUAAUUCAGAGUAUUCUAUUUUUUGUUACAUCUUGGGAGAUUAUUGAGGCAAAGAAAGUUCCACAAAAUUGAUGAUAAUUUUGAAUUAAAUGAUAUAUAUUUCACCCUGCUGGGCUGGAAUAGAUCGCUUGUCUCUUUGCAGAUAAAGAGCUGAGCAUGGUUUCUUCAGGAAGACUGAAUCCAGUUUCAGUUUUCCUAAUAAGCACUCCAACAGCAAGCUUCUUAACUCGCAAAAGAGGAAGAGAAAACUCCUCACUGAGUAUUUUUAAAUGAAAGUCCAAAUUUUAAUUGCAUUUUUUGAGGAAUUUUGAUUUUGUGGUGUUCACAUGUUUAAAGAAUUGUAGUAAGCUACUUAAUGUAAUGAGGCAAAUGGUCAUAGUGUUUGCUGAUUGUGUUUGGGUAGGUGGCAGGACAAUUUGACUGUGAUGCCUCAAUAUAAUUAUUUAAGAUAAAAUAAGUAGACAUGUAUGUGACAUUUCUAUUUUACAGCUUCAUUUCAAACUUAAGAUUUCUGCACACAUUUUACAGAUCUGUAAAGCCAUGGAAAUCAUGUGCAGGUGCUCUUUAUGGCUUACUGUUUUGAUAUUUUGCCAUCAUCCAAAGCUUUUUAUUGUGACACUCUAACCAAUAAAAUACUAAACUCAUCUACAGUAGUAGUUAUGACAACUUUAUAUGUUAAAGGUAAUUAAAACACAGAGGUCUGAUUAUCUGCUUGUACUGUUAGUUCUUAUUUAUUUGCUUAUGUAUUUUGUAUGUGAUUCCUAAGAUCAUAAAAUCAACUAUUUACAUUCAGUUACAGAUUGAGUGAUAACAGCAGAAAUCUUAAAACUGCUUAUGAUGACAAAGUUUUCCCAGUUGUUAACAAAACCCUGAUUAGACCUGGUGAAAUAUCAGAAAACUGUUUCAAAAAAUAAACAUGUUUCUGGAAACUGCAAAGUUCAAUGACUGAUGAAUUCAACAAAUGGAACACGACCACAGGGCUCAUGUGUAGGGCUCUCUCCAAGAAAAUGCCAGAGGUUUUAGUGAGCCAUUUGCAUAGCUAACUCGAUUUGCUCCAGGAGUGUGUAGAUACUUUAUAAAUGUGGAUUUCUAAAAGUGCAGUCCUAUGACAGCAAAUUUCUCAGGGCAGCUGCUGCAAGCUAGGAAGUUAAUGUAAUUUAUCACUAGCAGUUACCAGAGCAUAAGCUCAGUGGAUGCCUUUUAGAUAUUUGCAAAUAGAAACACCUGUUUUCAAGUAGCCAGGUAUCUCCAAUUCCUCAUUGAGAUAUGCAUAAUAAAAGCAAAAUGCAAAACAAAAUAAUGAUGGGUGUUCUAAGACUGUUUCCUCUGCAUUACUUAUAUCUUUCAUCAGUCUAUGUUUUGAGAUGAGAUUUGUGCAUUAUAGGUGUGAAAAAUGAUAAUGAAUUGCAUCAUACAGCAUGUGCUCUGUUUCUUAAAGGCCUUAUUGUUCAUUAGUUAAUAAUUCCAUUGCAGUAAUCCUUUUGGAGGAUAUGGUAUAAAGUGGCUUUGCAAGUUUGUUUGGAAAUUGAGUUUCCAAAUUUAAGAGUUAUCUCUUUUAGAAACACUCUUCCAGCAAACUUCACUGGGGUUUAUUUUCCUCAGAGAUUGUGCUGUUCUUGUUUUGCCUUUUUUUAUUUCCAGUGUAUUCAGCUCAGUUUUCCACAAACAGUUCCUGUUUUGCCUGUC